rnacentral:rRNA from 1 species
GACGCACGCUGGCGGCGCGCUUAACACAUGCAAGUCGAGCGAAGCGGCGGACGGGUGAGUAAAACGUGAGUAACCUGCCUUAGACAUUGGGAUAGACUCUGGAAACCGGGAUUAAUACACAAUGGUCUAAGAUGGACUGGCUUCCCAUUAGCUGGUUGGUGAGGUAACGGCCCACCAAGGCGACGAUGGGUAGACGGGCUGAGAGGGUGACCGGCCACAUUGACAGUGAGAAACGGUCCAAACGAUACGGGAGGCAGCAGUGGGGAAUAUUGCACAAUGGAGGGAACUCUGAUGCAGCGACGCCGCGUGAACGAAGAAGGCUUUCGAGUCGUAAAGUUCUUUUAUAUGGGAAGCGGUACCAUAAGAAAAAGCCCCGGCUGACUACGUGCCAGCAGCCGCGGUAAUUC